CCGCCCGACAGCCCGGGGCCUGGCACGCUGCCGUACCCGGCGUCUCCCGCGUUCAGGGGCAUCCUGUCCGUCUGCAGUGCCUCUUGUGACACCUGGGGGGCACCAGGGAAGCAGACAAUGAUGAUGCUGAUGUUGUCCAAACUGCCCUGAAGAGGGAGACAGAGUGCAGGAUUUUCAGAAAGGUUGGGUACUUCAGGAUGUGUUCCAGCAGGUUUCUGGAGCAGUACUGUGCCACUGUGGUGCCUGCAUGUCCAUCAAAAACAGCAAAGUAUCCCCACUCUGUCAGCUCUCCUCUCAGCUGGGGCAUGCAGGUGUG